UACAGAGGUCCCGAGCGUUGUUCGGAUUCAUUGGGCGUAAAGGGUGCGUAGGCGGCGAGCUACGUUUGGUGUGAAAUCCUGGGGCUCAACCCCAGAAUUGCACUGAAUACUGGUUUGCUAGAGGACUGGAGAGGAGAUUGGAAUUCACGGUGUAGCAGUGAAAUGCGUAGAUAUCGUGAGGAAGACCAGUGGCGAAGGCGAAUCUCUGGACAGUUCCUGACGCUGAGGCACGAAGGCUAGGGGAGCAAACGGG
rnacentral:rRNA from 1 species